UCUCAGUGAAGAGACGUUCACAUGUCUUACUUUCUACCCUCAAUCUAGUUCAACUGACAAGGUGAGCACAUUUGGGGAGGAGAAGAUGAACAUUCAUUCCAGAAGGAAUUGUUUUGGGAU